UACGAAGGGGGCUAGCGUUGUUCGGAUUUACUGGGCGUAAAGCGCACGUAGGCGGAUUGUUAAGUUAGGGGUGAAAUCCUGGAGCUCAACUCCAGAACUGCCCUUAAUACUGGCAAUCUAGAGUCCGGAAGAGGUAAGUGGAACUCCUAGUGUAGAGGUGGAAUUCGUAGAUAUUAGGAAGAACACCAGUGGCGAAGGCGGCUUACUGGUCCGGUACUGACGCUGAGGUGCGAAAGCGUGGGGAGCAAAC
rnacentral:rRNA from 1 species